rnacentral:rRNA from 1 species
UGAGGAAUCUUGCGCAAUGGGCGAAAGCCUGACGCAGCGACGCCGCGUGAGGGAUGAAGGCCUUCGGGUCGUAAACCUCUGUCAGGGGGGAAGAACCCCCAGUCGGUGAAUAACCGGCCGGGCUGACGGUACCCCCAGAGGAAGCACCGGCUAACUCCGUGCCAGCAGCCGCGGUAAGACGGAGGGUGCAAACGUUGUUCGGAAUCACUGGGCGUAAAGGGCGCGUAGGCGGACCUGUAAGUCGGGAGUGAAAACUCGGGGCUCAACCCCGAGCCUGCUUCUGAAACUGCGGGUCUUGAGGACCGGAGAGGAGAGUGGAAUUCCUGGUGUAGCGGUGGAAUGCGUAGAUAUCAGGAAGAACACCGGCGGCGAAGGCGGCUCUCUGGACGGUUCCUGACGCUGAGGCGCGAAAGCUGGGGGAGCAAACAGG